rnacentral:rRNA from 1 species
GGGGAAUUUUGGACAAUGGGCGCAAGCCUGAUCCAGCAAUGCCGCGUGCAGGAUGAAGGCCUUCGGGUUGUAAACUGCUUUUGUACGGAACGAAAAGCUCUGGGCUAAUACCUCGGAGUCAUGACGGUACCGUAAGAAUAAGCACCGGCUAACUACGUGCCAGCAGCCGCGGUAAUACGUAGGUGGCGAGCGUUGUCCGGAAUUACUGGGCGUAAAGGGCGUGUAGGCGGGGGGACAAGUCAGAUGUGAAAUACCGCAGCUUAACUGCGGGGCUGCAUCUGAAACUGUUCUUCUUGAGUGUCGGAGAGGAAAGUGGAAUUCCCAGUGUAGCGGUGAAAUGCGUAGAGAUUGGGAGGAACACCAGUGGCGAAGGCGGCUUUCUGGACGACAACUGACGCUGAGGCGCGAAAGCGUGGGGAGCAAACAGGA